AGUGGCCUUUACCUACCAAGUACCUGUAUCACCACAUGAUGUGGAAGAUCUUUUGAAACAGCAGGACAAGUCGGUGUUGUCAAGGCAGUAUUAUCGUAAGAUUAUACAAAGUUUAUUUGAAGACAUGAUACAAUUUACUCUAUAUCCAACAACAGCUGAGUAUACCGAGGUAGCCAGAGCUAGUUACCAAAUAUAAGAUCUUAGAAGAUAAAUCUGGAAAUUCAACAGGACAUGUAAGCCAUGUUAAAAAUUUUACAUACUGAAAAGACACAUUACAGCAAAAAAAAAA